rnacentral:misc_RNA from 1 species
GUAGGUGAACCUUAACACGUAUCCAACGUUAAACAACCCCGUGAACCUUCAGCCUGCUCUCGUAGCCCACGCGGCAACAGCAAUCCCGGUAAAUCAUUGUCAACCAGUUUUGAUUCGGGACCUCUGUUACGAUGAGAAGUUACAGUUACGAUCGAGCGGUAGAGUCAGUGGCAUGGCUUCCCCAAGCAGAAUCCAGAGAAUGAAAGGAUCACUGGCUGCGCAAGGAUAACGCCUCACGGUUGCUAGAGGU